CCUACGGGAGGCAGCAGUGGGGAAUUUUGGACAAUGGGGGCAACCCUGAUCCAGCCAUGCCGCGUGCGGGAAGAAGGCCUUCGGGUUGUAAACCGCUUUUGGUCGGGAAGAAAGGUUUCUCUUGAAUACGGAGGGACUGUGACGGUACCGGCAGAAUAAGCACCGGCUAACUACGUGCCAGCAGCCGCGGUAAUACGUAGGGUGCGAGCGUUAAUCGGAAUUACUGGGCGUAAAGAGUGCGUAGGCGGUUCGUUAUGUCUGUGGUGAAAGCCCUGGGCUCAACCUAGGAAUGGCCAUGGAAACUGGCGGGCUGGAGUAUGGCAGAGGGGGGUGGAAUUCCGCGUGUAGCAGUGAAAUGCGUAGAGAUGCGGAGGAACACCGAUGGCGAAGGCAGCCCCCUGGGCUACUACUGACGCUGAGGCACGAAAGCGUGGGGAGCAAACAGGAUUAGAUACCCUGGUAGUCCACGCCCUAAACGAUAGAUCACUAGGUGUUAGGGGAAGUGAUUCCGUUGGUACCGCAGCUAACGCGUGAAGUGAUCCGCGUGGGGAGUACGGCCGCGAAGGUUAAACNGAAAGGUAGUUGACGGCUGAGAGUGCGAGGCGACGACGAGGGAGAGG
rnacentral:rRNA from 1 species